rnacentral:rRNA from 1 species
AUAAAACUUGAGCAGGCUGUUGCUGGCCCUACUUCUCAGUGGGGUAUGUGCACGCUUGUUCUUUGUUAUUUCCCCCCCACCUGUGCACAUCUUGUAGACCCUGGAUUUGAAAAACAAUUCCGACUCGGGACUGCUGUGCUUCCUCUGUGUGAAGUCGGCUUUCCCUUAGGUCUAUGUAAUAUAUUAUUCACAAUGCUGUUCAGAAUGUUGGAAUCAAGGUCUUUUUUGUACCUUAUAGAAAUGAAAUAUACAACUUUCAGCAACGGAUCUCUUGGCUCUCGCAUCGAUGAAGAACGCAGCGAAAUGCGAUAAGUAAUGUGAAUUGCAGAAUUCAGUGAAUCAUCGAAUCUUUGAACGCAUCUUGCGCUCCUUGGUAUUCCGAGGAGCAUGCCUGUUUGAGUGUCAUUCAACUUCUCAACCACAUUCAUUGAUUGUGGCUUGGAUAGUGGGGGUUUAAUUUAUUUUUUUGCAGGCUUCUUCUGAGGUCGGCUCCCCUGAAAUGCAUCAGUGGUGAUCUGAGGCUAUUGCUAUUAGGUGUGAUAAUUAUCUAUGCCCUUGGUUAUGCCACAUGAACUGCUUCUAAACCCAGAGAGAGAUUAAUCUCGAUGAAUUUGACCUCAAAUCAGGUAGGACUACCCGCUGAACUUAAGCAUAUCAAUAAGCGGAGGAA